rnacentral:rRNA from 1 species
GCAGUCGAGCGGUAGCACAGAGAAGCUUGCUUCUUGGGUGACGAGCGGCGGACGGGUGAGUAAUGCAUAGGAAUCUGCCCGAUAGUGGGGGAUAACCUGGGGAAACCCAGGCUAAUACCGCAUACGUCCUACGGGAGAAAGGGGGCUCCGGCUCCCGCUAUGGGAUGAGCCUAUGUCGGAUUAGCUAGUUGGUGAGGUAAAGGCUCACCAAGGCAACGAUCCGUAGCUGGUCUGAGAGGAUGAUCAGCCACAUCGGGACUGAGACACGGCCCGAACUCCUACGGGAGGCAGCAGUGGGGAAUAUUGGACAAUGGGCGCAAGCCUGAUCCAGCCAUGCCGCGUGUGUGAAGAAGGCCCUCGGGUUGUAAAGCACUUUCAGCGAGGAAGAACGCCUAGCGGUUAAUACCCGCUAGGAAAGACAUCACUCGCAGAAGAAGCACCGGCUAACUCCGUGCCAGCAGCCGCGGUAAUACGGAGGGUGCAAGCGUUAAUCGGAAUUACUGGGCGUAAAGCGCGCGUAGGUGGCUUGAUAAGCCGGUUGUGAAAGCCCCGGGCUCAACCUGGGAACGGCAUCCGGAACUGUCAAGCUAGAGUGCAGGAGAGGAAGGUAGAAUUCCCGGUGUAGCGGUGAAAUGCGUAGAGAUCGGGAGGAAUACCAGUGGCGAAGGCGGCCUUCUGGACUGACACUGACACUGAGGUGCGAAAGCGUGGGUAGCAAACAGGAUUAGAUACCCUGGUAGUCCACGCCGUAAACGAUGUCGACCAGCCGUUGGGUGCCUAGCGCACUUUGUGGCGAAGUUAACGCGAUAAGUCGACCGCCUGGGGAGUACGGCCGCAAGGUUAAAACUCAAAUGAAUUGACGGGGGCCCGCACAAGCGGUGGAGCAUGUGGUUUAAUUCGAUGCAACGCGAAGAACCUUACCUACUCUUGACAUCCUGCGAAUUCGGUAGAGAUACCUUAGUGCCUUCGGGAACGCAGAGACAGGUGCUGCAUGGCUGUCGUCAGCUCGUGUUGUGAAAUGUUGGGUUAAGUCCCGUAACGAGCGCAA